rnacentral:rRNA from 1 species
CAUGGAGGGUGAGAAUCCCGUUCAUGGUUAAUUCUAAGAUGCUUUAUGAUGCGUUUUCGAAGAGUCGAGUUGUUUGGGAUUGCAGCUCAAAAUGGGAGGUAAAUUUCUCCUAAGGCUAAAUAUUGGCGAGAGACCGAUAGCGAACAAGUACCGUGAGGGAAAGAUGAAAAGAACUUUGAAAAGAGAGUUAAACAGUACGUGAAAUUGUUGAAAGGGAAACGAUUGAAGUCAGUCGUACCAGCGGGAAAUCAACCUUUCGAGUGGGGUUUUGGAGUUUUGAAGAGUGUCAAACCUUCGAGAUUUCAAAAUGUUCUCUCUUUUGGUGUACUUUCUCGCAGGUAGGUUAACAUCGAUUUUGAUCAUCAUAAAAGGAUUGGAGGAAUGUAGCUUCGGUCUCGUAUUGAAGUGUUAUAGCCUUUGGUAAAUGUGAUGAUUAGGAUCGAGAUUGCAACGAAUACCCUUUUGGGCUAUCCGCCUGAUCUCUGAUACGUGGCCUUGGUAUCGAAAGCGUGCUUAUGGUAUUAAGUAUUACGGUCAAAAAGUUAGAACGGAUUAAAUYCGUGAAGGAUGUUGACGUAAUGG